AUUUAUUGUAACCUAGUUUUGUUUCUUUCUUUUUUUUUUUGUUAGGGUUUAUGGUAGCCUAUAUAUAUUCUUCCUCUUGUACACUUUUGAUUAUUAGAAAAUAUCCCUCUUUUUUAUUAUUAGAAACCUUUACUAGGGUUUUCCACUUUUCUUCUAUCCUCGUAUUAGAGGUAGCAUGGUGACAAAACCCUAGCCACCAUCGGACGAAAACCAACCCGUGCAAGAUAACCAAAGCUAUCCACCAACUCCUCACCUUAGCUACAAUUGUUGACGCUGCCGUCAAAGAAGUGGCUGAAGCCACCAUUUUUUUGCUGCCGAUACCGCCACCGUUGAUCAUUAUCUUCAACCCUUUACAAAUCCAUCCAACUCUAGUGCCGCCACAACCCUUUUGUACAUUAUAGUGAGUUGUCCUAGCCAAAACAUACACACCGUGAAAACAAGAUUACUGAGUCGUCCGCCUACCAUAGAGCUAAAUUCCAUGUUGCAGCAACCAGGUUUUGCUCAUCAUGUGUUGCAGUUGGUUUAUAAUGGUUCAACAACAGUUGGCUAAUAUUUUUAUCUUUUUAAUAAGUUUUCAACAACAAAUGGCAACUCUUGAAGCAGCUUUAGGUGCUUCCACAAAUAAUCCGUUUCUGUUGGCCUCCGAACCAAUUGCAAUACAACCGCCUACUCCUACAGGCUACAAUGUUAAUUCCAACAAACAAGGUAGGCAUCAUAAUGUUAACCAACAGCCUUAAAAGGCAUCUAGACAUAAAGCUUACUAUCUUUCCUGCCAAACCAUGGUGGUUAAAGUUGGCACUUUUGCACUCAAAAAGGAUGAACAAAGUAAGUGUUGGUUGUGGAACCCUGUACCUGAUUGUAGGUACACCACUCCCUACCUUCAAAGUUCAAACUUUUUAUUUAAAAAGAAAAAAAGAAAAGGAGAACAUCCAUCCUUCAAACAACUGGCACGGACUGGAAGUUAAAAAAACAAAUUAAAAAUACUAUGCUUGAUAUACAAACCAUUUUGGAUAGUAGCUCCUCACGGUAUGGCCUAUCAUAACCCGUCACCCGAAGGAAAUUUGCAUAUAAUGGUUCAUCUAGCACUUCCAUGUCAUCUCUCUGAGGACAAAAACGGUGCAUAAUAAAUAUGGGAUGAGCAAGAAACAAGUUUUUGUUGAAAAAUUAUGCAAAUAAGCAUUCAAUGUUAUACUAGUUGUAUCUGAACACCUCCAUAUUUAACUUAAGAGCAAGAAGAAUAUCAAAUGGCAUUUUCACUACCAAAUACAAUUCAAAUUCAAUAAUAUAAUAACAUCUCCUAACUUUUCCUCUGUGUUGCAAUGUUUCAGAGUUUUACAAAUUCGUUAGUCCAAUAAAUGUACUUUCAAUUCGUUAAAAGUGAUUAGUCCAGAUGCAUAGCUCUCGUGUCCAAGAAUUUUUUUUUUCUUUUCAACUUUCAUUAUAAAAAAACAAAAAUGUAGAAGGAUAUACAAAAAACCAAAUCCACAAAAAAAGGAACUCAAUUAGAGGGCGCUGCAGCUGUACAAAACAGUACCUAUAGAAUAAUUACAAUCAAAGUAAACCCCAGAGGGAAACAUGAAAUACAAUAAUGGACCAAACAUCAUUUGGAUCCCACCAACCCUCGAAACACUCGGCUAUUCCGUUCAUCUCAAAGAACCCAAAAUAUAGCACACUUCAGCUAGCCACAAGAAAAGACCCUUCUCAGUUCUCACUACGGGGGAAAUGGAGGAGCACUCCUCGUUCUUAUCAAAUAGCGUUACAUUAAGGAACAGAUAAUACAAUAAUAUUCGCUGCUGCCCAAGAUUAAAGAAGAAGAUAGUUAUACUUAUAACAUAUUACUUCAAAAUGCAAACAGGGUUCAAUGAGAAAAGAGGAACGGCUGAGGUUUUUGUCAGACUGCCCAAAAAAAGUACCUUUUUUUCUUCCAAAUUCUAUCCCAGGCGGUAAAAGCAAUAUUAAUCCUCAAAAUCUUUAAAAGAAAAAAAUGAACAAGUAGAAAAUGACUUUCGACUUGACAAUCAAAUUUCCAAUACAGUGGUAAAUUUGUCCCAAGCAGAAAGCAACUAUUACACAAAAGCAGAGAAACCCCAUCAAAUCAUCACCUGUAUAGACAAUUGACCGCCAUGAUAGCAGAGAAAAGACAAUUAAACAAAAAGAAGCAACUCUAGCUGUUUCCAUACCCUUUCCCUUUCCAUUUUUCAGCAACGCAAAAGAGUAAGCAAGCAAUGGACUAUCAGAUUGAGAAUUACUCAGUAAAUCAAAAGCUAAAUCAUUGAGUAACAGACAAUUAUUCACAAUGGGUAAAGAGAAAAGCUAUAAUUCAUUAAAGAAAAAGCAUAACUCAUACAAAAAAAAAAAAAAAAAAAAAAAAAAA